rnacentral:rRNA from 1 species
GACGAACGCUGGCGGCGUGCUUAACACAUGCAAGUCGAACGGAAAGGCCCUGCUUUUGUGGGGUGCUCGAGUGGCGAACGGGUGAGUAACACGUGAGUAACCUGCCCUUGACUUUGGGAUAACUUCAGGAAACUGGGGCUAAUACCGGAUAGGAGCUCCUGCUGCAUGGUGGGGGUUGGAAAGUUUCGGCGGUUGGGGAUGGACUCGCGGCUUAUCAGCUUGUUGGUGGGGUAGUGGCUUACCAAGGCUUUGACGGGUAGCCGGCCUGAGAGGGUGACCGGCCACAAUGGGACUGAGAUACGGACCAGACUCGUACGGGCGGCAGCAGUGGAAAAUAUUGCACAAUGGGCGGACGCCUGAUGCAGCAGCGUCGCGUGCGGGAUGACGGCCUUCGGGUUGUAAACCGCUUUCGCCUGUGACGAAGCGUGCGUGACGGUAAUGAGUCAAGAAGCACCGGCUAACUACGUG